rnacentral:rRNA from 1 species
CAUAGUGCCUGCGCUUUUCUGGACUGUAGGGCGGUCCAGGAACAAGGGCUGGGCAAGACCGGUGCCAGCCGCCGCGGUAAUACCGGCAGCCCAAGUGAUGGCCGCUGUUAUUGGGCCUAAAGCGUCCGUAGCUGGCCGCACAAGUCCGUCGGGAAAUCCGCCCGCUCAACGGGCGGCCGUCCGGCGGAACCUGUGUGGCUUGGGACCGGGAGGCCUGAGGGGUACGAUCGGGGUAGGAGUGAAAUCCUGUAAUCCCGCUCGGACCGCCGAUGGGGAAACCACCUCAGGAGAACGGAUCCGACAGUGAGGGACGAAAGCCAGGGUCUCGAACCGGAUUAGAUACCCGGGUAGUCCUGGCCGUAAACGAUGCUUGUUAGGUGUGACUCCCACUACGAGUGGGUGUUGUGCCGUAGGGAAGCCGCUAAACAAGCCGCC